rnacentral:rRNA from 1 species
GAUGAACGCUGGCGGCGUGCCUAAUACAUGCAAGUCGAGCGAACAGACGAGGAGCUUGCUCCUCUGACGUUAGCGGCGGACGGGUGAGUAACACGUGGAUAACCUACCUAUAAGACUGGGAUAACUUCGGGAAACCGGAGCUAAUACCGGAUAACAUGUUGAACCGCAUGGUUCAACAGUGAAAGACGGUCUUGCUGUCACUUAUAGAUGGAUCCGCGCCGCAUUAGCUAGUUGGUAAGGUAACGGCUUACCAAGGCAACGAUGCGUAGCCGACCUGAGAGGGUGAUCGGCCACACUGGAACUGAGACACGGUCCAGACUCCUACGGGAGGCAGCAGUAGGGAAUCUUCCGCAAUGGGCGAAAGCCUGACGGAGCAACGCCGCGUGAGUGAAGAAGGUCUUCGGAUCGUAAAACUCUGUUAUUAGGGAAGAACAAAUGUGUAAGUAACUAUGCACGUCUUGACGGUACCUAAUCAGAAAGCCACGGCUAACUAGGUG